rnacentral:rRNA from 1 species
AACGAACGCUGGCGGCAUGCCUAACACAUGCAAGUCGAACGAGACCUUCGGGUCUAGUGGCGCACGGGUGCGUAACACGUGGGAAUUUGCCUCGGGGUAUGGAAUAACUCAGGGAAACUUGAGCUAAUACCAUAUAAUGUCUUCGGACCAAAGAUUUAUCGCCCUGAGAUAAGCCCGCGUAGGAUUAGCUAGUUGGUGGGGUAAAGGCUCACCAAGGCGACGAUCCUUAGCUGGUCUGAGAGGAUGAUCAGCCACACUGGGACUGAGACACGGCCCAGACUCCUACGGGAGGCAGCAGUGGGGAAUUUUGGACAAUGGGCGCAAGCCUGAUCCAGCAAUGCCGCGUGCAGGAUGAAGGCCUGGUGUAACUAGCUUUGUUACGGUAACG